UACGAAGGGAGCUAGCGUUGUUCGGAAUUACUGGGCGUAAAGGGCGCGUAGGCGGUUUUGUAAGUCAGAUGUGAAAGCCCCGGGCUUAACCUGGGAGGUGCAUUUGAAACUGCAAGACUAGAGAUCGAGAGAGGAAAGUGGAAUUACGAGUGUAGAGGUGAAAUUCGUAGAUAUUCGUAAGAACACCAGUGGCGAAGGCGGCUUUCUGGCUCGAUACUGACGCUGAGGCACGAAAGCGUGGGGAGCAAACAGG
rnacentral:rRNA from 1 species